rnacentral:rRNA from 1 species
AGAGUUUGAUCCUGGCUCAGAAUCAACGCUGGCGGCGCGCUUAACACAUGCAAGUCGCACGAGAAAGGGAGCAAUCCCAAGUACAGUGGCGUACGGGUGAGUAACACGUGGAUCAUCUACCUCUGGGUGGGGAAUACCCCCGGGAAACUGGGGACAAUUCCGCAUACGCUCGCAAGAGGAAAGCCGAAAGGCGCCCGGAG